rnacentral:rRNA from 1 species
UAUGAACGCUGGCGGCGUGCCUAAUACAUGCAAGUCGAACGCACAGCGAAAGGUGCUUGCACCUUUCAAGUGAGUGGCGAACGGGUGAGUAACACGUGGACAACCUGCCUCAAGGCUGGGGAUAACAUUUGGAAACAGAUGCUAAUACCGAAUAAAACUUAGUGUAGCAUGACACAAAGUUAAAAGGCGCUUUGGCGUCACCUAGAGAUGGAUCCGCGGUGCAUUAGUUAGUUGGUGGGGUAAAGGCCUACCAAGACAAUGAUGCAUAGCCGAGUUGAGAGACUGAUCGGCAACAUUGGGACUGAGACACGGCCCAAACUCCUACGGGAGGCUGCAGUAGGGAAUCUUCCACAAUGGGCGAAAGCCUGAUGGAGCAACGCCGCGUGUGUGAUGAAGGCUUUCGGGUCGUAAAGCACUGUUGUAUGGGAAGAACAGCUAGAAUAGGGAAUGAUUUUAGUUUGACGGUACCAUACCAGAAAGGGACGGCUAAAUACGUGCCAGCCGCCGCAGUAA